rnacentral:misc_RNA from 1 species
GAUGAAGAACGCAGCGAAAUGCGAUAAGUAAUGUGAAUUGCAGAAUUCAGUGAAUCAUCGAAUCUUUGAACGCACAUUGCGCCCCUUGGUAUUUCGGGGGGCAUGCCUGUUCGAGCGUCAUUUCAACCCUCAAGCUCUGCUUGGUAUUGGGCACCGUCCUUUGCGGGCGCGCCUCAAAGACCUCGGCGGUGGCGUCUUGCCUCAAGCGUAGUAGAAUACACCUCGCUUCGGAGCGUAAGGCGUCGCCCGCCGGACGAACCUUCUGAACUUUUCUCAAGGUUGACCUCGGAUCAGGUAGGGAUACCCGCUGAACUUAAGCAUAUCAAUAAGCGGAGGA